GGACUAGAAGCCAAGCUGUGUGGCUGCAGAAUCUGGGCUCUGAAUUAACACACCGGGUACGAGCCCGCGCCCCACUGUCCGGCACCGAGGAGACUAGCUGUCUCUUCUCUCCCAGCUCAGGGCGGGGCUUUACCUAGAGCUGGAGUCAAAACACACACACCGCUAAGGGCCAGGAGGAAAAAUUGAGUAAAGACAUGAAAACUACUUAACUGGAAAAGGUGAUUAGACAGCAGAGUGGAAUUGAUGAUUUGGUGCCUCCUUUUCCCUGGACCAUCAUUCCGAGAGACCACACACAGUUAUGACAUAAAGUCCAGCUGAAACGUUCAUUCCAGAUCUCUCUGAAUGGGAUACAUUCAGGCUCAGGGAGCCGCUCUUAACUGACGGUGUUGCCUAGGACAGAGAGCUGUGGAGCAGCGGGGACCAGGAAUUCUGAGUGUAGCCACCACUCGCUCACUUCACAUUUGACACAUACGCAGUGUCUCCUGUUGGCUGAACCCAACGACAAGCCAGACGGCCAGGGAAACUAGGGGAUGCAGUCAGUAAAGGUCAACCUCGUGGGACACUGCAGAGAAAACAGUGAAGAACCAUUCUGGAGGGACGAUGGAGCAGCAUCUCCAUCAUCUACUCUGUGGGCAGCAACUCUACUUUUACGAAUAUUAUCCAAGGCACAUAAUCAGAGAAAAAGUUCACUGCAGGCCAAUCUGCUUUCCUGGUCUGAAAAGAGCCCAUGUGUCAGUCUGUCUACAGAGCUGUGUCGCUUAAGCACAGGGCAAGGCUGGGAAGGACUGUUGACUAUGGGCUCGGGAGGGGAGGCACCGCAGCACACAGGAUGGGGCAGACAUUUCUGUACAUUCAAAAAUUGGUUGCAUAUGGAUGACUUG
ensembl:lncRNA